CCCUAUGGGGUGCAGCAGGCGAGAAAACUUUGCAAUGUGCGAAAGCACGACAAGGUUAAUCCGAGUGGUUUCUGCUAAAGGAACCUUUUGUCGGUCCUAGAAACACCGAUGAAUAAGGGGUGGGCAAGUUCUGGUGUCAGCCGCCGCGGUAAAACCAGCACCUCAAGUGGUCAGGAUGAUUAUUGGGCCUAAAGCAUCCGUAGCCGGCUUUGUUAGUUUUCGGUUAAAUCUGUACGCUUAACGUACAGGCUGCCGGGAAUACUGCAGAGCUAGGGAGUGGGAGAGGUAGACGGUACUCGGUAGGAAGGGGUAAAAUCCUUUGAUCUAUCGAUGACCACCUGUGGCGAAGGCGGUCUACCAGAACACGUCCGACGGUGAGGGAUGAGAGCUGGGGGAGCAAACCGGAUUAGAUACCCGGGUAGUCCCAGCUGUAAACUAUGCAAACUCAGUGAUGCAUUGGCUUGUGGCCAAUGCAGUGCUGCAGGGAAGCCGUUAAGUUUGCCGCCUGGGAAGUACGUACGCAAGUAUGAAACUUAAAGGAAUUGGCGGGGGAGCACCACAAGGGGUGAAGCCUGCGGUCCAAUUGGAGUCAACGCCAGAAAUCUUACCGGAGAGACAGCAGAUGAAGUCAGCUGAGACUUUACCAGACAGCUGAGAGGAGGUGCAUGGCAGGCGAUUCAGCACACUGC
rnacentral:rRNA from 1 species